rnacentral:lncRNA from 1 species
UGAAAAUGUAAAUGCUUGAAUUGAUUUAGAGAAAAUAUUCGUAAAUCUUCUACAGGAAUGAUACUUAUUUCAAAUGAUCACGAGAGCAUCCGUGUCUCCAAAGAAGGAUUGGUGGACUUCAAGAGAGAAGGGGAACUUGGCUCAGGACCAGCAGGAUCUUUGGCACACCUGAUGUCAAAGAAUUGUAGCACAUGCCAGUCAAAGGCAUAGACAAGUUUAUUUAGGAAAAUAGAUAACUAUUCAAGGGAGAUUGGGGUGAUCUCAAGAGAAAGAUGUUUUUGUGGUAAGACAAGGAAUACACAUUUAAGGGUUAGGAUGCAGGCUAUCUCUAGAGGGAGAGACAGCUCCUGUUGAUAGGGUGUGUUAAUACUUAGAGGGACUACAUGUAGAGCAAGGAUGGAGUUUCAUAAUUUCUUGCCAUUUCUCCCUGCACUUGCAUAUUGCCUUAUGUUACUUUUGCAGGGUGUUUCCUUUUAGACUCAGUAUCUCUCCUUUUAUCCCCAAAUUCUUAUCUUAAAACCAGACGAGAAUAGGUUAAAAUUCAUAGUCUAAAUCCAUUACUGAAUUGAUUUUUUUUAUCUCUGUUGGCAUUUUAGAUAACCCUCUUUAUAGCAGUGCCCAUGUUAUAUCAUAGUUAUUUAUUACAGAUUUCUGACUUGCCUGUGAGACUUGAGAACAGGAACCAUAUUCAUGUAUUUUCAUAUCGCUUGAACAUGGCAUGCUUGGCUUAGAGUUAGUUGGCUUGUAGCUUAAUUAAACUCUUUAAACUCCAGUUAAAUUUGUACUCUAUUAAGUUCCUUUAUAAGAACCUAUUUGAUUUU